CAAUAGCGUAUAUUAAAGUUGUUGCGGUUAAAAAGCUCGUAGUUGGAUUUCUGGUGGGAGCGAUCGGUCUGGCGCUUAGCGCGAGUACUUGCAUCGUCUCCGGCCAUCCUUGGGGAGAGUCUGUCUGGCAUUAGGUUGUCGGGCAGAGGAUCCUCAUCGUUUACUGUGAAAAAAUUAGAGUGUUUAAAGCAGGCCUUUGCCUUGAAUACAUUAGCAUGGAAUAAUAAGAUAGGACCGUUGUCUAUUUUGUUGGUUUACAGAUGUCGGUAAUGAUUAAUAGGGAUAGUUGGGGGUAUUCGUAUUCAGUUGUCAGAGGUGAAAUUCUUGGAUUUUCGGAAGACGCACGACUGCGAAAGCAUUUACCAAGGAUGUUUUCAUUA
rnacentral:rRNA from 1 species